GUAAGACAGUUUUGAAACUGUUUGUCAUUUCUCAUUACGAAACGUCAGAUUAUUUUUAACAACUUAAAGCAAUUUUAAGCCUUGUUGAGUCUAAUUGGAAGAAUAAAUGUUGUAUUCAACUUGUUUUCGUGUAAAUCUGUUCAUUUAUUUCACCUCGUGGAUGAUGAACCACCCGUUUAAAUAAAACGUCCGAUUUACACUCUUACUCGUAAAUAAAUAACUAUUUUUAAACCAACAUUCAAUGAAUUUAUUUUGUUUUUAGGGGAUGAAUAUCACAAUUUUGACAGAGUUUAUCGUUUUUAAGUUUGAUCAAAAAUAUUUUUAUGACAAACUGUGCAAAAAUGGCUAUGGUUAGUACCAACUUUCAGAUAAAUAUCUUUAUAUAGAACUUUUAAUACUUCUUAUGUGUGGUUUAGACGGAACACCGUGUAGAAUAUGCGAAUACUUAUCCCUAAUUCGAACAGGACACUAACCUAAUCAAUGUGAAAUAAACUUGCUAAAUCGCAAAUGGCGCAUCCGCAAUCACAGCACGUUUUAAAAAUAACCACCAAACCGAAUCGAGCGUGUAUGCUAUAUUUAGUAACCCCUACUCAAUGGAAUAAUAAUAAUAAGCAAAAGAAAAAGCAAGCACGCAGUGCAGUUUUAAUCCACUUGGGCUUGAGUAUGAAGAGGUAUUUGAACCAUUUACUUUUGCACGUGAAGCAGUUACCGUUCAACAAUAAGAAAGUAAACAUUCAGUGAAAUUUACCAUAAGUAGAACAGUUUGAAUCGAUAAAAACUAAAGCACUUAAUUUAAUUAGAAAGAGAUGAUCACCGAAUUGUCAGUGGCCUGCAAGAAGAAGAUGAGUGACCUCACUUGUUUCGUGCGUUUGUUCGGUUUGAACAUUUGUUUUGGAUUUGUGAUUUUUUUCUCAAUAUGUUUACACUUGUUAAAUUGUGUUAGUCAUGACAACGGUAAGCGAUACAGGUACACGAUAUUCUAAUUACGUACCUACUUUUAAAUCCUAGAUUUAGUAAUAGUGAAUGUAAUAAUUUGUGUUACCAAACGUACUGUUGCCAUUUAUUUAUUUAUACGUAAUUUAUUGCAAAUGUGAAAUAAACUAUUAUUUUUUA